rnacentral:rRNA from 1 species
UGCGUAGGCGGGCAGCUCAGUCAGUGGUGAAAGUUUGCAGCUCAACUGUAAAAUUGCCAUUGAUACUGGUUGUCUUGAAUUAAUGUGAAGUGGUUAGAAUAUGUAGUGUAGCGGUGAAAUGCAUAGAUAUUACAUAGAAUACCAAUUGCGAAGGCAGAUCACUAACAUUAUAUUGACGCUGAUGGACGAAAGCGUGGGGAGCGAACAGGAUUAGAUACCCUGGUAGUCC